UGGGAAACAUAAAACUAAAGUCUAGGUAAGAGAAAGGCAUGGUAUAAAGUCUGAGCUACUGUUUAUCUUGUUCCUACUACACUAAGUUCUGGAGAUUUAUUUUAAAAACUUACAAAUCACAUGAUGAGUUCCUAGCAUUACAAAUUACCUACCAUAGCCAUACUUGCUAUAACAUCUUUUACUAUAUUCACAUUAAGUUUGAUCGAGUUGUGUAGACCUUUAGGAGCUUUUCAUGUGGUUAAAUUAAGAUAUUCACUUGCACACACCAUCCACCACCGUUCAUUAAAAUUGCUAAAAAUAUUAUCACUCACUAUCCCAAAUGUUGUUAUUCUCUCUCUCUAAAAAGAUUCAAUGCAGAAGAGGCAUGGGUUAUGAAAAAAUAUGCGAGGAAAUAAAAAGGGGCAAGUGCCCGGAACCUCGAAAAGAAAGAAAAAGAUAGUGAGACGAGAGGUAAAAAUGGACAAGUGUCCGGAGUAGAAUUAGGGGUACAAAGAUGCCCACUUGAGCGGAAAAAAAUGGACAAGUGUCCGAGAGUAGAAUUAGGGGUAUCUACUACCCACCUGAAAAAAAAGAAGAAAAAGAUAGCCCAUGUUCUCCCAAAGCAAAGAUCAAAGAAGAGGGGAGAUAGCAAUAUGAGGAGCAAUGAGAAGUAAGUUUUAUUAUCACUUAUACAUUUUCACCAUCACUAUCAUUUACUCCACCACACAUGCACAUCUUGAUUUAAUUAUAUGCUGAGUUCCUUUGGAUCCAU
rnacentral:lncRNA from 1 species